rnacentral:lncRNA from 1 species
GGCAGGAAGUGUCCCUGUAGCCUUCAUACUGGCCCUGCCUGGCUCUGCCCUUAGAGGGGGAACUCCUAGGUCACACGUUUUUCUCCUUCCCUAGGAGUGUUCACUAUCCUCCUGAGACUGCGAGUAUAAUGCUGAUGGCCCGGAUGGUAGCCACAGUGAAGCAGGCCAAGGACAAGGACCACUGGGUCAGGCUCUUCUCCCAUUUCUGCAGCAAGACAGCCAAUGAGGAGGAGGAAAUUGUCCACA